rnacentral:lncRNA from 1 species
UGUUGUCUUUAAAGAAAUUGUUUGAUUUUUGUCGAGCCUUCGACUUUAGUCGAAAAAGCGAGACUAAGCGAUCCUACAUUCCGUCGUCGUCGGCGUCGUCGGCGGCGUCAACAAAUAUUCACUCUGUGGUUAAAGUUUUUGAAAUUUUAAUAACUUUCUUAAACUAUACUGGAUUUCUACCAAACUUUGACAGAAGCUUGUUUAUGAUCAUAAGGUAGUAUCCAAAAGUAAAUUUUGUAAAAAUAAAAUUCCAUUUUUUCCGUAUUUUACUAUAAAUGGACUUAGUUUUUUCUGCGAGGAAACAAAACAUUCACUCUGUAGUUAAAGUUUUUAGAAUUUUAAUAACUUUCUCAAACUAUCCUGGGUUUGUACUAAACUUGCACAGAAGCUUGUUUAUGAUCAUAAGAUAAUAUCCAGAAGUAAAUUUUGAAAAAAUAAAAUUCCAUUUUUUCCAUAUUUUACUUAUAAAUGGACUUAGUUUUUUCUGCGGAGAAACAUUACAUUCACUCUGUGGUUAAAGUUUUUAGAACUUUCUUAAACUAUCCUGGGUUUGUACCAAAUUUGGACAGAAGCUUGUUUAUGAUCAUAAGAUAGUAUCCAGAAGUAAAUUUUGUAAAUAAAUAAAUCCAUUUUUUCCAUAUUUUACUUUUAAAUGGACUUAGUUUUUCUCCAGGGAACCAUUACAUUCACUCUGUGGUUAAAGUUU